rnacentral:rRNA from 1 species
UACGAAGGGGGCUAGCGUUGCUCGGAAUUACUGGGCGUAAAGGGCGCGUAGGCGGUCAUUUUAGUCAGGCGUGAAAUUCCCGGGCUUAACCUGGGGACUGCGUUUGAUACUGGGUGACUUGAGGGUGGAAGAGGGUCGUGGAAUUCCCAGUGUAGAGGUGAAAUUCGUAGAUAUUGGGAAGAACACCGGUGGCGAAGGCGGCGACCUGGUCCAUUACUGACGCUGAGGCGCGACAGCGUGGGGAGCAAACAGG